UACGUAGGGUGCGAGCGUUGUCCGGAAUUAUUGGGCGUAAAGAGCUCGUAGGCGGUGUGUCACGUCGGCCGUGAAAACCUGCAGCUUAACUGUGGGCGUGCGGUCGAUACGGGCAUCACUGGAGUUCGGCAGGGGAGACUGGAAUUCCUGGUGUAGCGGUGAAAUGCGCAGAUAUCAGGAGGAACACCGGUGGCGAAGGCGGCUCUCUGGACCGGUUCUGACGCUCAGGCGCGAAAGCGUGGGGAGCGAUCCGG
rnacentral:rRNA from 1 species